rnacentral:rRNA from 1 species
UACAGAGGGUGCGAGCGUUAAUCGGAAUUACUGGGCGUAAAGGGCGCGUAGGUGGUUAUUUAAGUUGACUGUGAAAUACCCGGGCUUAACCUGGGGAGGUCAGUCAAGACUGGAUGACUAGAGUAGGAUAGAGGGAAGUGGAAUUUCCGGUGUAGCGGUGAAAUGCGUAGAUAUCGGAAGGAACACCAGUGGCGAAGGCGGCUUCCUGGGUCCAUACUGACGCUGAGGCGCGAAAGCUAGGGGAGCGAACAGG